CAGGAUGAACGCUAGCUACAGGCUUACACAUGCAAGUCGAGGGGCAGCAUGGUCUUAGCUUGCUAAGGCCGAUGGCGACCGGCGCACGGGUGAGUAACACGUAUCCAACCUGCCGUCUACUCUUGGACAGCCUUCUGAAAGGAAGAUUAAUACAAGAUGGCAUCAUGAGUCCGCAUGUUCACAUGAUUAAAGGUAUUCCGGUAGACGAUGGGGAUGCGUUCCAUUAGAUAGUAGGCGGGGUAACGGCCCACCUAGUCUUCGAUGGAUAGGGGUUCUGAGAGGAAGGUCCCCCACAUUGGAACUGAGACACGGUCCAAACUCCUACGGGAGGCAGCAGUGAGGAAUAUUGGUCAAUGGGCGAGAGCCUGAACCAGCCAAGUAGCGUGAAGGAUGACUGCCCUAUGGGUUGUAAACUUCUUUUAUAAAGGAAUAAAGUCGGGUAUGGAUACCCGUUUGCAUGUACUUUAUGAAUAAGGAUCGGCUAACUCCGUGCCAGCAGCCGCGGUAAUACGGAGGAUCCGAGCGUUAUCCGGAUUUAUUGGGUUUAAAGGGAGCGUAGAUGGAUGUUUAAGUCAGUUGUGAAAGUUUGCGGCUCAACCGUAAAAUUGCAGUUGAUACUGGAUAUCUUGAGUGCAGUUGAGGCAGGCGGAAUUCGUGGUGUAGCGGUGAAAUGCUUAGAUAUCACGAAGAACUCCGAUUGCGAAGGCAGCCUGCUAAGCUGCAACUGACAUUGAGGCUCGAAAGUGUGGGUAUC
rnacentral:rRNA from 2 species